AGAGUUUGAUCCUGGCUCAGAACGAACGCUGGCGGCAGGCUUAACACAUGCAAGUCGAACGGAUCCUUCGGGAUCAGUGGCGGACGGGUGAGUAACGCGUGGGAACCUACCCUGGGGUGGGGAAUAACCUUGGGAAACCGAGGCUAAUACCGCAUACGCCCUAUUGGGGAAAGACUAUGUUGCCCUGGGAUGGGCCCGCGUCCGAUUAGCUAGUUGGUGGGGUAAUGGCCUACCAAGGCUGCGAUCGGUAGCUGGUCUGAGAGGAUGGUCAGCCACACUGGGACUGAGACACGGCCCAGACUCCUACGGGAGGCAGCAGUGGGGAAUAUUGGACAAUGGGGGCAACCCUGAUCCAGCCAUGCCGCGUGAGUGAAGAAGGCCUUAGGGUUGUAAAGCUCUUUCACCCGUGACGAUGAUGACGGUAGCGGGAGAAGAAGCCCCGGCUAAUUCCGUG
rnacentral:rRNA from 1 species